rnacentral:tRNA from 1 species
GGAGAGGUGGCCGAGCGGUUUAAGGCGCGCGCUUGGAAAGCGUGUGUCCCGCCACAGCGGGACCGGGGGUUCGAAUCCCUUCCUCUCCG